AUGCUGCCCCUCUCCGUGCUGCAGAGGGCGCAGGCGGAGCUGGUCGAGUACCGCGGCUCCGGCAUGAGCAUCAUGGAGAUGAGCCACCGGGGCAAGGAGUUCGACGCGGCCAUCAAGAAGGCCGAGGCGGACCUGCAUGCGCUCCUCGCCGUGCCGGACACCCACGAGGUGCUCUUCCUCCAGGGCGGCGCCACCACGCAGUGCGUCGCCGCGCCGCUCAACCUCUGCGGCUCCACCUCGGACCCCGCCGACUUCGUCGUUUCCGGCUCCUGGAGCGACAAGGCCUUCAAGGAGGCCGGGAAGUACUCCGCCGCCUCCGUCGCCUGGUCCGGCAAGGCCACCAAGUACACCUCCCUGCCGGCGGACUUCGGGGCGCUCGCGCAGAACCCCGAGGCGCGCUUCCUCCACAUCUGCUCCAACGAGACCAUCCACGGCGUGGAGUUAAAGGACUACCCGGAGCCGAUGAACGAGUCGGGCGUCCUCGUCGCCGACAUGUCCUCCAACUUCUGCUCCAAGCCCGUCGACGUCUCCCGGUUCGGCCUCGUCUACGCCGCCGCGCAGAAGAACGUCCGGCGCUCGGAUACGAUGCAGCCAGGGGCACGAAUCGCAUCACGCAGCAGCAGCGUGUUAGAAUUAAUGGGCUAG
rnacentral:rRNA from 1 species